GACGAACGCUGGCGGCGUGCUUAACACAUGCAAGUCGAGCGGUAAGGCCCUUUCGGGGGUACACGAGCGGCGAACGGGUGAGUAACACGUGGGUGACCUGCCCUCAGCUCUGGGAUAAGCCUGGGAAACCGGGUCUAAUACCGGAUAUGACUCCAUGACGCAUGUUGUGGGGUGGAAAGCCUUGUGCGGCUGAGGAUGGGCCCGCGGCCUAUCAGCUUGUUGGUGGGGUGAGGCCUACCAAGGCGACGACGGGUAGCCGGCCUGAGAGGGCGACCGGCCACACUGGGACUGAGACACGGCCCAGACUCCUACGGGAGGCAGCAGUGGGGAAUCUUGCGCAAUGGGCGAAAGCCUGACGCAGCGACGCCGCGUGAGGGAUGACGG
rnacentral:rRNA from 1 species